rnacentral:rRNA from 1 species
AACGAACGCUGGCGGCGCGCCUAAUACAUGCAAGUCGAGCGAGAAGACGUAGCAAUACGUUUGUAAAGCGGCGAACGGGUGAGGAAUACAUGGGUAACCUACCCUCGAGUGGGGAAUAACUAGCCGAAAGGUUAGCUAAUACCGCGUACGCUCCUUGGACUUCGGUUCAGGGAGGAAAGCGAUACCGUGGGUAUCGCGCUCUUGGAUGGGCUCAUGUCCUAUCAGCUUGUUGGGAGGUAACGGCUCACCAAGGCUUCGACGGGUAGCUGGUCUGAGAGGACGAUCAGCCACACUGGCACUGCGACACGGGCCAGACUCCUACGGGAGGCAGCAGUAAGGAAUAUUGCGCAAUGGGCGAAAGCCUGACGCAGCGACGCCGCGUGGGGGAUGAAGGUCUUCGGAUUGUAAACCCCC